rnacentral:rRNA from 1 species
UACGGAGGGUGCAAACGUUGCUCGGAAUCAUUGGGCGUAAAGCGCACGUAGGCGGCUUUGCAAGUCGGGUGUGAAAGCCCUCAGCUCAACUGAGGAAGUGCACCCGAAACUGGCGAGCUUGAGUACGAAAGAGGAUCGCGGAAUUCCCGGUGUAGAGGUGAAAUUCGUAGAUAUCGGGAGGAACACCGGUGGCGAAGGCGGCGAUCUGGGUCGAUACUGACGCUGAGGUGCGAAAGCGUGGGGAGCAAACAGG